UGUCGGCCAGCUGCCAGAACCGGCCCAGUCACAGGAGGAAUACUCACAGCUCUUUGCUCAGCUCAUCGCGCGGACGGCUAAAGACAUUGAUGUCUUGAUUGACUCCUUGCCUAGCGAAGAAUCAACACUUGAACUUCAGCAAGCAUCCUUGAGGAACCUGGAGGCUGACAACCAAGAAGCUGCCGCCAAACUUGCCGAGGUGGUUGAGAGAGGAGAGGCGCUGCUGGUCCGAAUACAGGAGGCCCUGGGGGACAUUGCAGAGGCUCAGCUCCGGACCCAGAGUGCCAAGAAAGGAAAGCAAGCCAAGGAGGUAAAGGCCGAGAAGGAGGAAGAAAGUCAAGAGACAACGUGAGUUGUACUCGCUCGCAACUUUGCAAAACUCGUGAAAGGAAUGUGUUUGAGCAAGACGAUGAAACUUGCCGAGUAUAACAAAAUAGUGGAGUGCCUGGAGACUGUGCACUGCGACGGAACAAAGGAAUCACUGGCGCUCGUGCAGCAGCAGUUCCCAUCGGUGUCCCACCACACACUGAUCAGCAUCUACUCACAGCGUGUCCAGGUGAAGACUAAAGGACACCACAGCCAGCACACUUCGCCGGGCGCUGUGGAGCAUUACUAUGCUAAGUAUCGGAAACGGGUGUCGGACCCAUUGUACAAAUGGGGGACAAUUUUGGUAGGACUUGCUAGUGAGAUUGAUUUCAGCCCGGCAUUGCUGGCCCGUAUCGUCCUAGAGCGCCACUUGUUUUAUACCUCUGGGGACGAGGCGCCCGUGCCGAAGAGCAGAGUGACCAAGCUUUUCCGAGAGCCACACUUGAUUCAGGACCCCGUACUGUCGCUGGAGGUGCAGCAGUGUGUCCUGCUGGACUCCAGCUACGGUCCCGUAGUAGAGAGUAUCAAGCACUCCAUUGGGGUGGAACUGGAAGUCCACCUCAAGAAGACACUCCAGGACCACGGGCUGGCAUUCAUCGGAGAGGAAGAGAUGAGAAAGAAGGGGUACGACAAGACCCCGGAUGUCAAACUCCAGGUCCCGAUAGCCGUGGGAGGACGCGUGGUCAACUGGAUGGAGAGCAAGGCAUCCUUUGGGGACAGGCACAGUCACGAGAACUACAUGAGGGACCAGUUCUGGAGCUACGUGAAUCGCUUUGGUUCUGGCCUGGUGAUCUACUGGUUUGGUUUCAUUGAAGAGCUUGCAACAAGCUCUGAGCAGGGUAUAAUUGUGGCUGACGACUUUCCAAAACACUUUACAAAUCUGAUUCCCGAGUUGGAGUGUGCCAAGUAGAAUGCAUUCUUCCCCUGUAUUUUCAGUAAUAUUUGUAGUAAAUUUCAGGAUGGAAAUAUAAAAUUUCUAGACACCUUACUUAGUGCCACCAAGGAUUUGUAGUCUGAUGAAACUAUUAAUUAGGGAAUAACAGUGUGAGGACCCGGUCUUCACUGCGAAAGUACCGUGUUGGGGGAUGGCCGCUGUUAAUGAACCAGCCCGAAGGUGAGGUUCAUAACAGCGGUCACCCCCAACCUGGUCAUUACCACGCA